GCACUUAUUAUGAAUACAUAAAUAUUGCUUUACUUGAAAGCUGAACAGAACAAAGCAGACUCCAUUAAAAAUAAACUGUUAGCAUGGGAAGUGC